UGGCGGGAAAUCCCUUUUAUACUCUCUCAUUUCCAACCUAGUCUGCGCCCUGUGGACUGCGAUUGUCGUUCUAGGAUUUGGAAUACCAGUUGAGCAGUUCAUUUGAAGGAGUUCUCACUUCUCACGAUCUCUCCAACUCUCAAAGAAGGUCUUCUCACUUCUCCGACGAUUUCCGGUGACUUCUCCUAGCAGGAAUGGGUGAAGAGGAAAAUCCACAGAUUACUAGAAGAGCCACUAGAUUAUCAUCGUCUUCAUCCUCUGGCACGCCAGAUCCAAAAACUGUUGAGUCGGAGUCCAAACCUCUGACGAUAAAUGAUCUUGCCUUUGGUAAUGAAUCGAUUAAUUUGGAUGAGUUGAUGUCCAGUUUACCUGGCAGGCGAGCACAAAUUCACAAAUUAUUACGCAUAAUAGGCCCCUUGAAUUCUCCAAUUUCUCCGAUUUUCAUGUAUGGAGGUGCUUCAGUUGGCAAAACAAGUACAAUUCUUCAGAUAUUUAAGUAUCUAAAGAGGCCAUUUGUGUAUUGUAGCUGCAUCACCUGUUAUAGUCCUAGGGUUUUGUUUGAGUCUGUCUUGAAUCAGUUAUUCCUACAUAGAAGGAGGGAAAGCAAUGGUUAUUCUAGUGCAAAACGGUGUGAUAAGCCCUCAGAUUUUGUGAAUCUUUUACGGGAAGCUCUAGUUAAGGUUGUUGAGGAUCUGAAGAUGAAUGUGGAGAAAUCAGGAUCUAAGAAGUCAGCUCAAAGGACUAGUGGGAGGAUGGUUUACUUGAUAUUUGAUAAUUUAGAGCGUGUUCGAGAAUGGAAUAAGUCUGAUAUAUUGCCUUUCCUAUUUAAGCUUUAUGAUGUUCUGAAGAUGCCGGAGGUGGGUUUGAUCUUUGUUAGUGCUACCUCUCCUGAUACAUAUUACUCUGACACGGGCUUCAUAGAGCCUGUUCAUGUUUACUUUCCCGAUUACACAGAAGAUGAUCUUCACCAAAUCUUUACAAGGAGCCAAGGAAACUCAAAACUGUAUUCAUCUUUUCUUGAAGCGGUGUUGAGACCUUUCUGUCGAGUUACAAGACAAGUUGAUGAGUUAUCUACUGCCUUUUCAUCAUUAUUCAAGAUAUACUGUGAAGGACUUGAUGAUUUGGGGGCUGUUCCUGAUGAACAUAUGAAGAAUAGAUUAUACUGUCAUCUUAAGCCACAUAUUGGGCCAGCAAUGAAUGAGGUAUUCAAAGUCUUGUCCAGGCCCUCCCCCGAAGUGGCCACCAACAAGAUCAAGCAUAAAGUUGUUCCAAUGAAAGAUGGAUUUGGUGAAUCUUCUAAUGAGAUUGACUUUCACAUGUCCGAGUGUGCUAAGUAUCUUCUUAUUUCUGCAUUUAUUGCUUCAAGAAACCCAGCUACUCUUGAUGCCUCACUGUUUGAUUCAACUGGAGGCUAUAGCAGUCGGAAAAGGAAGAGAAAAUUCUUUUUGCUGAUAUUGUGUUCAGGAGCUCUCAGAAAUCAAUGGAGCAGAAAGAAAUUGCAGAGCAAGAAUCAGUGAUGAAAGGACCAGGAACUUUCCCGUUGGAAAGGUUAUUAGCUAUAUUUCAGUGUAUAACAUCGGUUGCAGAAUAUUCAACCGAUGACGAAGCAGAAACAGGAGGAAAUAAUAAUGGUUUAAUGUGUGAUGUUCUCUUACAACUAUCAAGUCUGUGCAAUGCUAAUUUUAUCAGUAAAGGAGGAAGUUGCCCUUUGGAAGGUUCAUUACGGUAUCGCUCCAUGGUGUCUGAAGAUUUAGCUCUCAAGGUUGCUCGGAACUUAAAAUUCCCUCUGUCAAAGUAUUUAUACAGAUAACACCUGCCUCUGCAAAUCAAACAUUCCACAGUUCGCGCUAACCUAUUACUCUCUUC